AUUAAAAGCUUGCUCUUAUAAACUUGGCGGCGGUCGGGUGAGUAACACGUGGGUAACCUGCCCAUAAAACUGGGAUAACUCCGGGAAACCGGGGCUAAUACCGGAUAACAUUUUGAACCGCAGGGUUCGAAAUUGAAAGGCGGCUUCGGCUGUCACUUAUGGAUGGACCCGCGUCCCAUUAGCUAGUUGGUGAGGUAACGGCUCACCAAGGCAACGAUGCGUACCCAACCUGAGAGGGUGAUCGGCCACACUGGGACUGAAACACGGCCCAAACUCCUACGGGAGGCAGCAUUAGGGAAUCUUCCGCAAUGGACAAAAGUCUGACGGACCAACGCCCCGGGAGUGAUGAAGGCUUUCGGGUCGUAAAACUCUGUUGUUAGGGAAAAACAAGUGCUAGUUGAAUAAGCUGGCACCUUGACGGUACCUAACCAAAAAGCCACGGCUAACUACUUGCCAGCAGCCGCGGUAAUACUUAGGUGGCAAGCGUUAUCCGGAAUUAUUGGGCGUAAAGCGCGCGCAGGUGGUUUCUUAAGUCUGAUGUGAAAGCCCACGGCUCACCCGUGGAGGGUCAUUGGAAACUGGGAGACUUGAGUGCAGAAGAGGAAAGUGGAAUUCCAUGUGUAGCGGUGAAAUGCGUAGAGAUAUGGAGGAACACCAGUGGCGAAGGCGACUUUCUGGUCUGUAACUGACACUGAGGCGCGAAAGCGUGGGGAGCAAACAGGAUUAGAUACCCUGGUAGUCCACGCCGUAAACGAUGAGUGCUAAGUGUAAGGAGGGUUUCCGCCCUUUAGUGCUGAAGUUAACGCAUUAAGCACUCCGCCUGGGGAGUACGGCCCGCAAGGCUGAAACUCAAA
rnacentral:rRNA from 2 species